rnacentral:rRNA from 1 species
CUGAAAUUAAAAUUUUAUUUAUAUAUAUAUAUAUAUAUAUAUAUAAGUUUUAUAUGAUUUUUUUAAAAUAUUAAUAUUUUAUUAAUUUUGUGAAAAAAUUUUCUUAAUGAUAGUUAAUUUGUAUUGUGAAAGAAUAUUUUUAUUUAUAAAAAAGAAUAAUUAAUUUUUAGUACCUUGUGUAUCAGGGUUGAUUAAAAUAUUUAUAUAAAAGUUUAUGAGUCUCGAAUCUAAAAGGGCUAAGGUUUAUAUUUUUUAAAUGUUUCAUAAUUUUUUAAAAUUUAAUUUUAGUAAUGAAAUGUUAUUCGUUUUUUGAUAUAUCUAGUUUUUUAAGAAAUAAAUUUAAUUUAUUUAUUUUUAAAAUUGUUUUAAAUUAAAAAUUUAAUUUUGGAAAUAAAAAAUUUUCUUGGGGAAAAGCUUGAGAAUAUAAGUUUAUUUAAAUUUAAAGUUUAAAUUUGUAAGUAGGAUUAUAAUUUUCCGUCAUUUUUAGAAUGUUAUAGUUUUCUUAUUAUUAAUAAUUAUUUAUAUAUUUAAUAAAUUUUUUAUUGAAAUUUUAAAUAAAACUAAAUUAUUUAAGCAAUAAUGAUUAAAUUAGUAUAUUUUUGUGUAUAUUUAAUUUUUAAUUAAAGAUUUAAUAAAUGAAUUCGGCAAUUUUAUUUUUCACCUGUUUAUUAAAAACAUGGCCUUUUGAGGAGAAUUUAAGGUUGCGCCUGCUCAAUGGCAAGAUUAAAUAGCUGCAGUAUUUUGACUGUACUAAGGUAGCAUAAUCAUUAGUUUCUUAAUUGGGGACUGGAAUGAAAGGUUUGAUGAGAAAAUAACUGUCUCUUUUAUAAAUAUAGAAAUUUAUUAUUGAGUAAAAAAGCUCAAAUUUAGUUAAAAGACGAGAAGACCCUAUAGAGUUUAAUAAUUAAUUAAUUUUUAUUAAUAAAGGUAAGAAAUUUGUUAAAAUUAAAAUUAUUAUUUGAUUGGGGUGAUUUAAAAAUUUAUUAAACUUUUUUUUGUUGAUACUUUAGUUUGAGAUUAAUUUGAUCCGUUAUUUAACGAUUAAAAGAAUAAAUUACCUUAGGGAUAACAGCGUAAUCUUUUUUUAGAGCUCUAAUCGAUAAAAAGGAUUGCGACCUCGAUGUUGGAUUAAAAUUAACUUUUCAGCGCAAAAGCUAAAUAGUUGAGUCUGUUCGACUUUUAAAAUUUUACAUGAUCUGAGUUUAAACCGGCGUGAGCCAGGUUGGUUUCUAUCUUUAAUAUAAUUUAAGAUUUUAGUACGAAAGGACCAAAUUUUUGAUUAAUAAUUUAUUAUUUGAAUAUUAAUGUUAUUUUGGCAGAAUAGUGCAAUUGAUUUAGAAUCUUUAUAUAUAGAUAUAACUAUAG